GUCUACACAUGUCAUAGGGCAGCCCCACCCAGAGUGCCCUCCUGCUCUCCUGCUGCAGGCUACAGCACAACCAGUGCACCUCCUUCAGUUUUCCCAGGAACUCUACACCAGGCUCUCCUACCUCAAUAAUACCCUCUUCAGAGCUGGUGCAAAUGGUGCAAAACGACAGCCACCUGAGCCCUUGCAGCUGGAGUGAAACCCUGCUCUUCCCCUCAGUCUCUGUGCUGGGAGCAGCCUCACCAGGAAAGCACCUCUCACUCCUCCUGGCCCUCCAACUAUUCCCCAGGAUCCCACUCUCCAGCCCUGGAGAUGUCAACAGAGGAAAGACUCAAAUACCUUUGGAGCAACAACAGUGUCAAGAAGAGAAAAAAUGUGUGAAGUAACAGCAGAUUCAUUCAUAUCCAAAACCACAGCACAAAUCUGAAAAAAGAAGAUCCAGAUCAAGAAAAAAAAGA